GGGCUUUUUUCCUGGGCGAGACUGCAAUGCCGACCGGAUUCCACAGCCACUUGCAGUACUUGGUGGGCACGUAGAUUGCACAGAGAAGAUCUUGCUUGCUGCAUCGCCCGAAGGCAAGGAACGGAGGUAUCGAUUUCCCGGCCCAAAAUUUUGAGCUCGACUUCCUCUCCGUGUUCCGAAAUUUGAACGUGUUUCGAUUCCCAUCUUCAGGGCGGUAUCGGUGGGCGUGCAUCGCAUAAAUUUUGCAAAUCCUUCUGCAACCGGGGUCAGCUGCCCGGUGGUCGGUGGUCGGUUGUACGCAAUCCGAUACUAAUCCGUGCCAACUAUCGGCACUGAAACAGUGGAACGGCAC